rnacentral:rRNA from 1 species
GUGCGUGAGUUUCCUCCAACCCCUGUGACAUACCACUUGUUGCCUCGGCGGAUCAGCCCGCUCCCGGUAAAACGGGACGGCCCGCCAGAGGACCCCUAAACUCUGUUUCUAUAUGUAACUUCUGAGUAAAACCAUAAAUAAAUCAAAACUUUCAACAACGGAUCUCUUGGUUCUGGCAUCGAUGAAAAACGCAGCAAAAUGCGAUAAGUAAUGUGAAUUGCAGAAUUCAGUGAAUCAUCGAAUCUUUGAACGCACAUUGCGCCCGCCAGUAUUCUGGCGGGCAUGCCUGUUCGAGCGUCAUUUCAACCCUCAAGCACAGCUUGGUGUUGGGACUCGCGUUAAUUCGCGUUCCCCAAAUUGAUUGGCGGUCACGUCGAGCUUCCAUAGCGUAGUAGUAAAACCCUCGUUACUGGUAAUCGUCGCGGCCACGCCGUUAAACCCCAACUUCUGAAUGUUGACCUCGGAUCAGGUAGGAAUACCCGCUGAACUUAAGCAUAUCAAGCCCGGAGGA